GGGGCUUCGGCCCUGAGUAAAGUGGCAAACGGGUGAGUAACGCGUGGGUGAUCUGCCUCUGAGUGGGGGAUAACCUUCCGAAAGGAGGGCUAAUACCGCAUGACAUCCUGUUCUUGGAUGAACGGUGAUCGAAGCUGGGGACCGCAAGGCCUGGCGCUUGGAGAGGAGCCCGCGUCCGAUUAGCUAGUUGGUGGGGUAAAAGCCUACCAAGGCGACGAUCGGUAGCCGGCCUGAGAGGGCGGACGGCCACACUGGGACUGAGACACGGCCCAGACUCCUACGGGAGGCAGCAGUGGGGAAUUGUUCGCAAUGGGCGCAAGCCUGACGACGCAACGCCGCGUGGGGGAUGAAGGUCUUCGGAUUGUAAACCCCUGUUGGGUGGGACGAACACUCCUGUGGUGAAUAUCCACGAGAGCUGACGGUACCACCUGAGGAAGCCCCGGCUAACUCUGUGCCAGCAGCCGCGGUAAUACAGAGGGGGCAAGCGUUGUUCGGAAUUACUGGGCGUAAAGGGCGCGUAGGCGGCCUGUUAAGUCGGACGUGAAAUCCCUCGGCUCAACCGGGGAACUGCGUCUGAUACUGGCGGGCUUGAAUUCGGGAGAGGGAUGUGGAAUUCCAGGUGUAGCGGUGAAAUGCGUAGAUAUCUGGAGGAACACCGGUGGCGAAGGCGGCAUCCUGGACCGACAUUGACGCUGAGGCGCGAAAGCCAGGGGAGCAAACGGGAUUAGAUGCCCCGGUAGUCCUGGCCCUAAACGAUGAGUGCUUGGUGUGGCGGGUAUCGAUCCCUGCCGUGCCGAAGCU
rnacentral:rRNA from 1 species